rnacentral:rRNA from 1 species
UACGGAGGGGGCUAGCGUUGUUCGGAAUUACUGGGCGUAAAGCGCACGUAGGCGGCUUUGUAAGUUAGAGGUGAAAGCCCAGGGCUUAACCCUGGAAUUGCCUUUAAGACUGCAUCGCUAGAAUCGUGGAGAGGUGAGUGGAAUUCCGAGUGUAGAGGUGAAAUUCGUAGAUAUUCGGAAGAACACCAGUGGCGAAGGCGACUCACUGGACACGUAUUGGCGCUGAGGUGCGAAAGCGUGGGGAGCAAACAGG